GACGAACGCUGGCGGCGUGCUUAACACAUGCAAGUCGAACGGCAAGGCCCUGCUUUUGUGGGGUGCUCGAGUGGCGAACGGGUGAGUAACACGUGAGUAACCUGCUCUUGACUUUGGGAUAACUUCAGGAAACUGGGGCUAAUACCGGAUAGGAGCUCCUGUUGCAUGGUGGGGGUUGGAAAGUUUCGGCGGUUGGGGAUGGACUCGCGGCUUAUCAGCUUGUUGGUGGGGUAGUGGCAUACCAAGGCUUUGACGGGUAGCCGGCCUGAGAGGGUGACCGGCGACAUUGGGACUGAGAGACGGCCCAGACUCCUACGGGAGGCAGCAGUGGGGAAUAUUGCACAAUGGGCGGAAGCCUGAUGCAGCAACGCCGCGUGCGGGAUGACGGCCUUCGGGUUGUGAACCGCUUUCGCCUGUGACGAAGCGUGAGUGACGGUAAUGGGUAAAGAAGCACCGGCUAACUACGUG
rnacentral:rRNA from 1 species